rnacentral:rRNA from 1 species
GGAUUUACUGGGCGUAAGCGUGCGUAGGCGGCUGAUUAAGUCGGAUGUGAAAUCCCUGAGCUUAACUUAGGAAUUGCAUUCGAUACUGGUCAGCUAGAGUAUGGGAGAGGAUGGUAGAAUUCCAGGUGUAGCGGUGAAAUGCGUAGAGAUCUGGAGGAAUACCGAUGGCGAAGGCAGCCAUCUGGCCUAAUACUGACGCUGAGGUACGAAAGCAUGGGGAGCAAACAGGAUUAGAUACCCUGGUAGUCCAUGCCGUAAACGAUGUCUACUAGCCGUUGGGGCCUUUGAGGCUUUAGUGGCGCAGCUAACGCGAUAAGUAGACCGCCUGGGGAGUACGGUCGCAAGACUAAAACUCAAAUGAAUUGACGGGGGCCCGCACAAGCGGUGGAGCAUGUGGUUUAAUUCGAUGCAACGCGAAGAACCUUACCUGGCCUUGACAUACUAGAAACUUUCCAGAGAUGGAUUGGUGCCUUCGGGAAUCUAGAUACAGGUGCUGCAUGGCUGUCGUCAGCUCGUGUCGUGAGAUGUUGGGUUAAGUCCCGCAACGAGCGCAACCCUUUUCCUUAUUUGCCAGCGAGUAAUGUCGGGAACUUUAAGGAUACUGCCAGUGACAAACUGGAGGAAGGCGGGGACGACGU